rnacentral:ncRNA from 1 species
UUUAUGACGAUGAUGAGAAAGAGUACAAAGAGGAAUUGCGACUAGCGAGAAUGGGGUAGUGGAAGCCAUUUGCAAGGAGUAUUUGGAAGUGCGUCUCGGAGUUGAUUGGAAGAAAUUUGAAAGUAUUUCAAUCCGUAUUACUGCGUUAAAGUUUUGAGCUGGAACGACAUGUCGUUCAAACAGAGUGGGACCGCGGAAUUUUCGUCUCUGGA